UACGUAGGGUGCAAGCGUUAAUCGGAAUUACUGGGCGUAAAGCGUGCGCAGGCGGUUAUGCAAGACAGAGGUGAAAUCCCCGGGCUCAACCUGGGAACUGCCUUUGUGACUGCAUCGCUGGAGUGCGGCAGAGGGGGAUGGAAUUCCGCGUGUAGCAGUGAAAUGCGUAGAUAUGCGGAGGAACACCGAUGGCGAAGGCAAUCCCCUGGGCCUGCACUGACGCUCAUGCACGAAAGCGUGGGGAGCAAACAGG
rnacentral:rRNA from 1 species